rnacentral:rRNA from 1 species
AAACCUGAGAAACCCAAAAGAUCGAAUGGGGAGAUUCAUCGUCAGCGGCGUUGGCUUCCGUGUGGAUCGCGAUGGCCGGGACCUCGGUUCCGCGUCACGCGUCCGCUGCGGUAUGUCCGACGUCGUCGGCGUGCACUUCUCCCCUAGUAGGACGUCGCGACCCGUUGGGUGCCGGCCUACGGCCCGGUUGGUCGACUGUCGCGUCGCGUUCACGCGUGCACGCGGCAGACCACCGGUUGCCUGGCCGGCUGCCCGGCGGUAUAGAUCGCUAUAAAACGGUAUUGGGCCGCAUUAAGUGCGUUCUGGCUCGUCGGCAGGCUCGUCUCGCUCGGAUUUACGGACCUAGUGCCGUUGCCGGGCGCUUGGCGUGGCCGUUAGUCGACGAUGUCCUCGGACUGGCUCUUACAUUCGAACGGAUUUACCGGUCGGCGACGCUACUGCUUUGGGUACUUU